rnacentral:misc_RNA from 1 species
CAACCCUCGAGCCCCCGUGGCCCGGCGUUGGGGAUCUGCCACGGCAGGCCCCUAAAACCAGUGGCGGACCCGAAGGCCCUCUCCUUUGCGCAGUAGCAUCAGCCUCGCAUUGGGAUCCCUCGGCGUCCUGCCUCUAAACCCCCCACAAGUCCGCUCCGGCGGCACCAA